rnacentral:rRNA from 1 species
UACGUAGGGUGCAAGCGUUAAUCGGAAUUACUGGGCGUAAAGCGUGCGCAGGCGGUGAUGUAAGACAGAUGUGAAAUCCCCGGGCUCAACCUGGGAACUGCAUUUGUGACUGCAUCGCUGGAGUGCGGCAGAGGAGGAUGGAAUUCCGCGUGUAGCAGUGAAAUGCGUAGAUAUGCGGAGGAACACCGAUGGCGAAGGCAAUCCCCUGGGCCUGCACUGACGCUCAUGCACGAAAGCGUGGGGAGCAAACAGG